rnacentral:rRNA from 1 species
UGGGGAAUAUUGGACAAUGGGGGCAACCCUGAUCCAGCAAUUCUGUGUGCACGAAGAAGGUUUUCGGAUCGUAAAGUGCUUUCAGCAGGGAGGAAGAAAGUGACUGUACCUGCAGAAGAAGCGACGGCUAAAUACGUGCCAGCAGCCGCGGUAAUACGUAUGUCGCGAGCGUUAUCCGGAAUUAUUGGGCAUAAAGGGCAUCUAGGCGGCCGGAUAAGUCCGAGGUGAAAACUGCCGGCUCAACCAGCAGCUUGCCUUGGAAACUACCUGGCUAGAGUAUUGGAGAGGUGGACGGAACUACACGAGUAGAGGUGAAAUUCGUAGAUAUGUGUAGGAAUGCCGAUGAUGAAGAUAGUUCACUGGACGAUAACUGACGCUGAAGUGCGAAAGCUAGGGGAGCGAACAGGAUUAGAUACCCUGGUAGUCCUAGCUGUAAACGAUGAUUACUGGGUGUGGGCAUGAAGAGUGUCCGUGCCGAAGUUAAUGCGAUAAGUAAUCCGCCUGGGGAGUACGGCCGCAAGGC